CAUCUUUUUCCAUUCCAUUCAUAGAAGAUAAUUAAUCACAUACUCAUACAAUAUCCUUCAUCGAGAAUCCAUAAAAACGCACUCAAUACAUGUCUCAUAGGGAUGAUUUCACAGGGGAGGGGAGGCUAUUGUUGAGGACUUCAUUUUUCUUCUUCUUUUUCUGCUGCUGCGUACACACCUAGAGUAGACAGAGACGGAAAAACACUAAUAUACUCACCAGUGCAAACCUACAGAAAUAUUACACCCAAAAAUAAACCAAUAUACUCAUACGCACAUCUGGAUCGGAGAAUCAAAAGUGGGGUAAAGUUAAGUAAAAAUAGAGAAGAGGUCGAUCGAUAGAGAGAACUAGUCGGGGAGAGAAAGAAAUAGAGAGGAUAAUGAGAUAUUUGAGUAAGAAAGGAGAGAAAAGGGAUUGGGGUUGACUGUUUCGGCAUUCUUGGCCAGAAAUAGCAUUAUUUCGCCGGACAACAUUUAAUUCUGGUCACCAAUGAUCCUCAAUUUCAAUUUUUGUUUUGCUCGCAAUCGGGUCUGAGUAAAUUGGAGUUUGGGAUCAAAGUUGUUGAUUUGGGUUCAUGUUUAAGGUUCGAUGUUGACGUUCUAUUUGGACGCGGAUCUAUUCAAAAUGAUCAAUUGAUUGAAAUAAAGCAUCAAAUUGAGGUCCAUCUCUUUACUCCCGUUCUUUCUUCUUUAUUUUAUUUUGUUGAAAUGACUAUGAUUAUGUGUUGGGUGAUUGUAAUUGUUUGAUGUUGUUGAUGUUAUAAUCAUGUGCUUGGUGAUGUGACUCCGGUGGUAUAAGGAACAAAUUUGAUUAGUUUUAAUGGUGCGAUUGAUAAAAAAGAAUUUGGGACGGAAUUUAGAAAUUGAUGAAAAGGGUGAAUUUAGAUAAAUUUUGGUUUAUUGUUGUUUUGUUUAAUUCAGAAUAAAUAUCAAGUUUGUGAACUCGAUAGGAGUAUAUUUUAGGCCGAAAACUUAAUAGGCAAAGUUUAGUUUCGGGUAGGCAAAUUCAGGAUUUGUGGAAUAUUGAAUGCUUGAAAUGUGUGUUGAAUGGUUUGGCUUUAUUGCUUUUGGAUCGAAUGUAUUAUUUGGAUGGGGAAUGCCCCGAGGUAUUUGUAUUUAUUCAUAGAGGAAUGCCUCGAAGUAUUUUGUACGCAGAGGACGUUCGUGACAAAGGCCCGAGGCGUCAGGUAGAGCUUAGUCUAGGAUUAGUUUAGAAUAGGAUUUAAAUUUUUUCGCAUUUUUCUAUUUUAGACUGUAUAAUUGGACUGGACAUUAUGAUUUUGGAUU